rfam:Equus caballus chromosome 1, whole genome shotgun sequence.
UUUUUAGCGUAAGUAUGUCCCAUGCAAUAUUUGGGACAUACUUAUACUGAAA